GACAGAGGUGCCGAGCGUUAGGCGGAAUCACUGGGCUUAAAGCGUGUGUAGGCGGAUCUGUAAGUACCUUGUGAAAUCCCACGGCUCAACCGUGGAACUGCUUGGUAUACUGCGGGUCUUGAGCCACCUAGGGGCAAGUGGAACAAACGGUGGGGCGGUGAAAUGCGUAGAUAUCGGGAAGAACACCCGUGGCGAAGGCGGCUCUCUGGGACGGUACUGACGCUGAGACGCGAAAGCGUGGGGAGGCGAACGAGG
rnacentral:rRNA from 1 species